GUGAAUAAAAUGAUUCCAACACUAGAGGAAAAAUCCUUAUAGGUUGCUCAUCAAAGGUUGCCCUUAUCAAACAAGUGCAACCCUUAAGAACAAAAAAAAAUUAGAAAAAAAAAUUAAUUAAAAUCUGAAAUUUUGCCUCCAAACAAACGCAGCCCUUUAUCCUAGGAACUAAAAAAAAACGGUACGUCUCUCACAGCUAGCUCCUGCAAACCAUCUCGCACCCUCUCUCCUCCUUCUCAGGUGACCGGAAAUUAUUUCUAGAACCGUAUAUUCCUAUCUCUAGCUUCCCCUCUUCUCUCUUGGGGUUUCGAUGUCGUCGUUUAUGGGGGUUUCCUCUAUCAUUUGAUCGGUGAUUACGAGAAGAAAAAGAAAAGGAGGAAUGGUUCUUUGCCUGUAAAUGCUUCAGGUAUAAAAUGAAUGAGUAUGCAGGCCAGUAUGGAUGGAUGUUACUGGAUUUAUGGGUCCUUUUGGUGGUAAUGUGCCAUAUAACAUGGGGUAUGGUAUGGCUGUAUGGAUAUGACUUUCGGAAACUUUAUUCCUCCAGAGUUUUUUGGGCCUCAAGGGUUCAUGAUGCCCCCAAUGCUUCCUCCUCCUCAAAGGUGUAUGUUGCUGAGAUGUCACAUAGUUUGAUACUCUGUACUUUUAAUUCAUUUUCUUUGGCCAUGAUUCUUUUUCUGCUCAGUGCAUAUUGGCAUUUCCACUAAUAACUGCAGACGAGUGGGAAUGGGAAUACAUUUGUACUUGUAUAUUUUCGUUUCUCAUGCUAUGCAUCCUCAUUGUCACUCUCAGGUACAGAAGUCUAGGUCUAGCGAUGAUAAAGUAGUUGAUGAAAAUCUUUCAUGGUUUAACCUUAAGUUUGCUGACCUUUUUGGUAAAU